AAUCAACGCUGGCGGCGUGCCUAACACAUGCAAGUCGAACGAGAAAGCGGGAGCAAUCCCGUGAGUAAAGUGGCGACCGGGUGAGUAACACGUGACUAACCUACCCUCAAGUGGGGAAUAACCUCGGGAAACCGGGGCUAAUUCCGCAUAACAUCGCGAGCUGAAAUGCUGGCGAUCAAAGGAGCAAUUCGCUGGAGGAGGGGGUCGCGGCUGAUUAGCUAGUUGGCAGGGUAACGGCCUACCAAGGCGAUGAUCAGUAGCCGGCCUGAGAGGGCGCACGGCCACACUGGAACUGAAACACGGUCCAGACUCCUACGGGAGGCAGCAGUGGGGAAUUUUGCGCAAUGGGGGAAACCCUGACGCAGCAACGCCGCGUGGAGGAUGAAGUCCCUUGGGACGUAAACUCCUUUCGAACGGGACGAAAAAAAUGACGGUACCGUAAGAAGAAGCCCCGGCUAACUCCGUGCCAGCCGCCGCGGUAAAAC
rnacentral:rRNA from 1 species